UACAGAGGGGGCAAGCGUUGUUCGGAAUUACUGGGCGUAAAGGGCGCGUAGGCGGCCAUUCAAGUCGGAGGUGAAAGCCCAGGGCUCAACCCUGGAAUUGCCUUCGAUACUGUUUGGCUAGAGACCGGAAGAGGUAAGUGGAACUGCGAGUGUAGAGGUGAAAUUCGUAGAUAUUCGCAAGAACACCAGUGGCGAAGGCGGCUUACUGGUCCGGUUCUGACGCUGAGGCGCGAAAGCGUGGGGAGCAAACAGG
rnacentral:rRNA from 1 species